rnacentral:lncRNA from 1 species
GCUCCUGCAUCCGAAAGUGAUCAUAGGCUGCCUGUGCCUAGGUCAUUGAUAGUGCAGGGAGAGGAACGCUGAAAGAGGUUGUCCCCGUGUUUGGAGGGUCCACCCUAUCCCAUCCGAACCCUGAAGCUUUCACACAACUCCUGUUGCUCUCCUGCCAGCCCUUGAGGAGUCCGGCGCUUGCUUGGCUGCCACAUGAAAGAUUGUCAGCUGACCUCUGUCCUGUGUGCCCAGUGGCCCCAGGUGACGUGUCUUCAAGAAGAGGCUGAGCUGCGGUGCUUGUAAGGCAGGGUCUCAUUCUGUCACCCAGGCUGGAGUGCAGUGGUGCAAUGAUGGCUCACUGCAGCCUCGACCUGGGCUCAAGUGAUCCUCCACCUCAGCUUCCUGAGUAGCUGGGACCACAGAGUCAUGUGCUGUUCCUGGGGCUUGGAUGAUGUAGGGGAAGCAAGGUGAAAGUGGUAUCCCGUGGUUCCACGUUCUGUCCUGCUGUGGGGCUGUCCCUCACAUGCUUUCAGUGGCUGUUGCAGAGGAAGAGCCUCCGGAAAUCUGCGUGGGUCUCAGCCUUAGAUCCAAGGACAGUCCAAGGAAGUCCUAAGACCAUGGAGUUGGUGAUCUGGGAUCUGGGUUUGCUGAUAUUUCUCACCGUGAAUCUCUUGGUGGUGUUUGUGGGCACGAGAGGGGCAGAGAAUGGAGAGUGAGGCUACCACAUGAAGCGUCACCAGAGCUGCUCCCUGCUGCCUGCUCAGAGCACCCCGGAUCCACUGUUCAAUCUGCACAAGAUUCGGGGUCCAGACAUGGGAGACUUCAGCUGCCUCAGAGGACCGUGGACAGGGAAGGCCAGCCUCGCAUCCCUCUGUCCAUGCCUGGAAUGACUUUAAUAACCAAGAGUUUUAUUUUUGAAUUUGUAGCUGUCGUUCACUUUUUACCCACCCAUUCAAUAAACCUUACAGAAUUGC